rnacentral:ncRNA from 1 species
CAAUCGGCUAUGAUGAGGACGAAGUGUUAAGGGCCCUACUGUACAGAGAGCGACGGAUCCCGCUGCAACCGCCGCCAGCAUCCCUUUCCAACGAGCUCACCUCGGAGCUGUUUUCCUGAAAAGACACCGGUCUUAGUAGGGAGAAUCGCAUGGCAUGCGUUAAAAUGCCGAAGUAGAAUGAUCAGGCGUGCACGCCCUUUUCUACUUCAUGAGGCUCCGCAUUGCGAAAUGCGGCAGCAAACCUGGGUGGUACCACGGAAGAUACAGUCUUUCGUCCCUAUG